rnacentral:rRNA from 1 species
GCCGAACGCUGGCGGCGUGCUUAACACAUGCAAGUCGAACGGAAAGGCCCUGCUUUUGUGGGGUGCUCGAGUGGCGAACGGGUGAGUAACACGUGAGUAACCUGCCCUUGACUUUGGGAUAACUUCAGGAAACUGGGGCUAAUACCGGAUAGGAGCUCCUGCUGCAUGGUGGGGGUUGGAAAGUUUCGGCGGUUGGGGAUGGACUCGCGGCUUAUCAGCUUGUUGGUGGGGUAGUGGCUUACCAAGGCUUUGACGGGUAGCCGGCCUGAGAGGGUGACCGGCCACAUUGGGACUGAGAUACGGCCCAGACUCCUACGGGAGGCAGCAGUGGGGAAUAUUGCACAAUGGGCGGAAGCCUGAUGCAGCAACGCCGCGUGCGGGAUGACGGCCUUCGGGUUGUAAACCGCUUUCGCCUGUGACGAAGCGUGAGUGACGGUAAUGGGUAAAGAAGCACCGGCUAACUACGUG